UAAUUGAAGAGUUUGAUCAUGGCUCAGAUUGAACGCUGGCGGCAGGCCUAACACAUGCAAGUCGGGCGGUAACAGGGGGAAGCUUGCUUCUCUGCUGACGAGCGGCGGACGGGUGAGUAAUGUAUGGGGAUCUGCCUGAUGGAGGGGGAUAACUACUGGAAACGGUAGCUAAUACCGCAUAAUGUCUUCGGACCAAAGCGGGGGACCUCCGGGCCUCGCGCCAUCAGAUGAACCCAUAUGGGAUUAGCUUGUAGGUGAGGUAACGGCUCACCUAGGCGACGAUCCCUAGCUGGUCUGAGAGGAUGAUCAGCCACACUGGGACUGAGACACGGCCCAGACUCCUACGGGAGGCAGCAGUGGGGAAUAUUGCACAAUGGGCGCAAGCCUGAUGCAGCCAUGCCGCGUGUAUGAAGAAGGCCUUCGGGUUGUAAAGUACUUUC
rnacentral:rRNA from 1 species